rnacentral:rRNA from 1 species
UCGAACGGUAACAGGUGUAGCAAUACAUGCUGACGAGUGGCAGACGGGUGAGGAACACGUACACAACCUCCCUCUUACUGGGGCACAACUCCGAGAAAUCGGGGCUAAUUCCCCAUAAAAUUUUGUUCCGGCAUCGGGAUAAAAUUAAAACUCCGGUGGUAAGAGAUGGGUGUGCGUCUGAUUAGCUAGUUGGUGAGGUAACGGCCCACCAAGGCAACGAUCAGUAACUGGUGUGAGAGCACGACCAGUCACACGGGCACUGAGAUACGGGCCCGACUCCUACGGGAGGCAGCAGUAAGGA